GGAGAUGUAGCUAAGUGGUACAGCACUUGCCUAGCAUUCAUGAGGCCCUGGGUUUGAUCACCCAGCACCACAA
rnacentral:tRNA from 1 species